UCUCUCAGCUCCAAGGUAGUGAGCCUCUCUGAUAUAGAUCUCAUCUCAGUCUGAAUGCUUUCUACCUUCUCAAACAAAGCCCAUAUCUCUUCACUAACUCUAGCUGAAAUCAGAUCAGCCAGUCUCUCCAAGAAUGCUGAAUCAAUAGCUGCUGGCUGAGGAACAAAAGUUGUAGGAGGUGUGAACUGAGGUGUGGCUGGUGAAGUAGGAUCUGGGGCA
rnacentral:lncRNA from 1 species